ACAAUGAUACUCCCGUCCAGCCAUAGAUUCAAGCAAUGGGGGCGGCUCGCAGAGAUCCUGGGAGGGGUGAAAUUCCCGUGA
rnacentral:ncRNA from 1 species